CUCUUCUUCAAAAAUAUUUUGACUGCUUAAAACUGACUGUUUGACAUAAGGUGUAGAGUCUUUUUUUUGCUGAACUGAUAAUGGUAAAUGGCCCCAAAAUGCCUGUUUGUCAUUGAAGAGCCAAGAAAUUGCAACCGACAAACUUGGCAGAACGUCAAGUAUGAACUUGACAAUGUGGAGAUCACAAGAGGACAAUGAAAUGCCUCAAGAAAUGAUGGAAUGACUGAAAGAG